UACAGAGGUCUCAAGCGUUGUUCGGAUUCAUUGGGCGUAAAGGGUGCGUAGGUGGCGCGCUAAGUCAGGUGUGAAAUUUCGGAGCUUAACUCCGAAACUGCAUUUGAUACUGGCGUGCUUGAGGACUGGAGAGGAGACUGGAAUUCAUGGUGUAGCAGUGAAAUGCGUAGAGAUCAUGAGGAAGACCAGUGGCGAAGGCGGGUCUCUGGGCCGAUACUGACGCUGGAGGAGCGAAAGCGUGGGGAGCGAACAGG
rnacentral:rRNA from 1 species